UAAUUCUGCUGUUUCCAAAGCUUUGAGACAGCCAACCGCUUCCGCCAUUAACGCAUCAUGAAGCAGACUAGCGUUGCCUGCACCUGCCAGCACGUGUGCACCUGUGUAAUCUCUAAUAAUGAAGCCCCAGGCGCCAUGCUUAGUUGCCUUCACAAAAGCUCCAUCAGUAUUGAUUUUCAGGACACCUUGGGGAGGUCUGAGCCAUCUCUGUUGUAGCCUAGCAGUCGGUCUAAUUUUU
rnacentral:lncRNA from 1 species